CCCCAGUCUUCCAAACCUUCACACUGCAGUCGUUGCGUUGCUCUUGCUGUGCUGCAACGACGCCACUGGCCACCGGCUAGCUGACGUUGAAGACCCUUCCACACAACCUCAUAGAGAUUGAGCCGAACAACUUCUCGCCAAUCUCCAAUUUCUUCCAGAAGAAGCAAUUUGAACAUUGCUUUUAGACAGUACGAGAAGGCCACCAUUCACAGUUUUGGGAAUGAAUAAAAAAUUUGGAGGUGGAAGGAAGCCAAUCGGGACUCCAUCCCUGGCUUGGUCGUCUGUUGUUGUCGUCUUCUCUCUUCUUGCUGGUGCCUCUGUUGUCCAUAAUAUCUAUAAGCCUAAUCUUACAUUGCCUCCAGUUGAUGGAGCUGAUGGGGCCAAACAGGGAGUUGAUGAGAAAGAAUGAGUAUGUCUUUUUUUUUGAAAAUUUCAACAUCCGGAAGAUGAACUGAUCUUACAGUGUGAAAGGAUACUGACAACAUAUGCAAGUAAGUGAGCACGAUAUAAACUUGAGGGCUGAUCUUUCCAUUUUUUUGGCGGGAAUUUUCUUUUUUAAUUUUGGAAUUUUUCAGAAGGGACUGUUUUAUAAGUAUCCGAAAAUAAUAGCUUGUGAGAGCAUAAUUGGGCAUUGUAGAAACAUCCAAUAACUUAAAAAAGUGAUUGGAAGGACAAGAGAGACAUAUAUAACUUUGUCACCAAUUGUAAUUUUUUCUCUUAGUUGACAGCUUGAUUUAUUUGUUUAUUGCAACAUCUUUCCCCGUUUGAAUCCGACAUUAUCUUUAACUAACUAAAGAGAUCUGUGG